rnacentral:lncRNA from 12 species
UGGUCUGGGGUGGACAGUCAGGGCUUCUGGGUACUCCUGGCCCAUGAGCAGGCUUGCUCUUCACGAACUGGAACGUGGAGGCCGUCGUGUUCCUCCCACAGCCCCCCUCAGGCUAUUCAUAAAUCAUUGCAUUCAGUGUGGGUAGUUUGGUCACACUUUGGCUGGCAUAAGUUUUUAAUUUUGAUUAAGUCCAGUUCAUUGCUUUUUCCCUUCGGUCAUUGUGCUUGUGGAAUCCAAGAGAAACAUUCCAUCUGCUCCAAGCCGGCAGGAACACUCGCUGGCAGGCCCAUCCACCACCAUCUCGGCACCAGCCCUGGCUGGGAGACGUCACCCCAAGCAUCAGCCCCAGAGAAGAGGACAUAGAAAACCUGCUGGCUGGGAAAAGGCUGAUAUCAUAGCCAAAUACCAUCAGCUGAGGCCCAGCUAAGUACCAUAGACCCGAGAGCACCCACUAGAGGUGGGGACCACAUCUGCAAGAGCAGGAGAAGCCCAGAAGGGGAUCAGAGCCAAGGAUGAGCCAGGUCAGCCCAGACAAGUACCAUAGUCACCAGGAACAAGUGAGACUCUGGGGAUGGACAUGGGAAUCAGUAGCAAGUUGAUCCUGGAUCCUAGUCAUCAGUAGCCCAUGAGCCCAGGUGGGGAUCAUAGGCACCAGAUCCCGAUGAGGCCCAGGUGGUGCACAUACUCAGGUGUGUAUGAGCAGGAAGGGCCCAAAUGGUAUCAUAAGCAGCCUGAGCAAUUAUGUCCCAUGUGAGGAUCAUAGCAAAGUCCAGUCAAUGAGACCCAAGUGGGUGUUGUUGCCAGUAGGAGCAGGUAAGGCCAGGUGGGGAUCGUAGUCCUCAGGAGCACGAGAUAUCUGAUGGUGUGUUAGCCAGCAAGUAGCAGUGAGACCAAAUCAGGGAUCCGAAUCUAAGCUAGGCAGUGAGGGCCCAGGCAGAGAUGAAAAUCAGAGGAGCACUGAGGGAGGCACUUGACGUGAUGAGCCCUGGGUGUGAUUCUAUAUGUUGGCAAAUUGAACACCAAUAAAAAAUAAAUUUAUAAAAAUAAAAAAAAUCA